rnacentral:rRNA from 1 species
GAUGAACGCUGGCGGCGUGCCUAAUACAUGCAAGUCGAGCGAACAGAUGAGGAGCUUGCUCCUCUGACGUUAGCGGCGGACGGGUGAGUAACACGUGGAUAACCUACCUAUAAGACUGGGAUAACUUCGGGAAACCGGAGCUAAUACUGGAUAAUAUAUUGAACCGCAUGGUUCAAUAGUGAAUGACGGUUUUGCUGUCACUUAUAGAUGGAUCCGCGCCGCAUUAGCUAGUUGGUAAGGUAACGGCCUACCAAGGCAACGAUGCGUAUCCGACCUGAGAGGGUGAUUCGCCACACUGGAACUGAGACACGGUCCAGACUCCUAAGGGAGGCAGCAGUAGGGAAACUUCCGACAUGGGCGAAAGCCUGAAGGCGCACAGCCGCGUGAGUGAUGAAGGUCUUCGGAUCGUAAAACCCUGUUAUUAGGGAAGAAAAAAUGUGUAAGUAACUAUGCACGUCUUGACGGUAACUAAUCAGAAAGCCACGGCUAACCACGUG